GGCGGACGGGUGAGUAAUGUAUAGUUAAUCUGCCCUUUAGAGAGGAAUAACUACUGGAAACGGUAGCUAAUACCUCAUACUCCUUUUGCCUUAAUGGUAAUUGGGAAACGUUUUUUCGCUAAAGGAUGAGACUAUAUGGUAUCAGGUAGUUGGUGGGGUAAGAGCCCACCAAGCCUAUGACGCCUAGCUGGUCUGAGAGGAUGAUCAGCCACACUGGAACUGAGACACGGUCCAG
rnacentral:rRNA from 1 species